rnacentral:rRNA from 1 species
UCGGGAAUUUUGGGCAAUGGGGGAAACCCUGACCCAGCAACGCCGCGUGAAGGAUGAAGUAUUUCGGUAUGUAAACUUCGAAAGAAUAGGAAGAAUAAAUGACGGUACUAUUUAUAAGGUCCGGCUAACUACGUGCCAGCAGCCGCGGUAAUACGUAGGGACCAAGCGUUGUUCGGAUUUACUGGGCGUAAAGGGCGCGUAGGCGGCAUGACAAGUCACUUGUGAAAUCUCUGGGCUUAACCCAGAACGGCCAAGUGAUACUGUCGCGCUAGAGUGCAGAAGGGGCAAUCGGAAUUCUUGGUGUAGCGGUGAAAUGCGUAGAUAUCAAGAGGAACACCUGAGGUGAAGACGGGUUGCUGGGCUGACACUGACGCUGAGACGCGAAAGCGUGGGGAGCAAACAGGAUUAGAUACCCCCGUAGUCCCUGAGCGGGCUGGCAAGGCGCAU